UACGUAGGGUGCAAGCGUUGUCCGGAAUUAUUGGGCGUAAAGAGCGUGUAGGCGGCCCGAUUAGUCCGCUGUGAAAGUCCAGGGCUCAACCCUGGAAUGCCGGUGGAUACUGUCGGGCUAGAGUCCGGAAGGGGCGAGUGGAAUUCCUGGUGUAGCGGUGAAAUGCGCAGAUAUCAGGAGGAACACCGGUGGCGAAGGCGGUUCUCUGGGCAUUACCUGACGCUGAGGAGCGAAAGUGUGGGGAGCGAACAGG
rnacentral:rRNA from 1 species